UGGGGAAUAUUGGACAAUGGGCGCAAGCCUGAUCCAGCCAUGCCGCGUGUGUGAAGAAGGCCUUAUGGUUGUAAAGCACUUUAAGCGAGGAGGAGGCUACUUUAGAUAAUACCUAGAGAUAGUGGACGUUACUCGCAGAAUAAGCACCGGCUAACUCUGUGCCAGCAGCCGCGGUAAUACAGAGGGUGCAAGCGUUAAUCGGAUUUACUGGGCGUAAAGCGCGCGUAGGCGGCUAAUUAAGUCAAAUGUGAAAUCCCCGAGCUUAACUUGGGAAUUGCAUUCGAUACUGGUUAGCUAGAGUGUGGGAGAGGAUGGUAGAAUUCCAGGUGUAGCGGUGAAAUGCGUAGAGAUCUGGAGGAAUACCGAUGGCGAAGGCAGCCAUCUGGCCUAACACUGACGCUGAGGUGCGAAAGCAUGGGGAGCAAACA
rnacentral:rRNA from 1 species